rnacentral:rRNA from 1 species
GUGGGGAAUUUUGCGCAAUGGGCGAAAGCCUGACGCAGCGACGCCGCGUGGGGGAAGAAGGCCUUCGGGUUGUAAACUCCUUUAAUACGGGAAGAAGCCGAAAGGUGACGGUACCGUAAGAAUAAGCCACGGCUAACUCUGUGCCAGCAGCCGCGGUAAGACAGAGGUGGCAAGCGUUGUUCGGAUUUACUGGGCUUAAAGGGCGUGUAGGCGUCCUGGUAAGUCAGAUGUGGAAGCCUUGGGCUCAACCCAAGAAUUGCAUUUGAAACUAUCAGGAUUGAGUCGUGCAAGGGAGGGCGGAAUUCCUGGUGUAGCGGUGAAAUGCGUAGAUAUCAGGAGGAAGGCCGGUGGCGAAGGUGGCCCUCUGGGCAAUGACUGACGCUGAGGCGCGAAAGCGUGGGUAGCAAACAGGAUUAGAUACCCGAGUAGUCC